GCACUCUGUGUGGGGAACAUGAGAGCCAGACCAAAGCUCAGAGGAAUGAACGAGGAACUAAAUGCAAACAUGAACCUGGACCCAGCUCUGUCUCCUUAAAGAGUGACCGGUCUAAAGCUGACAUUAUUGAUUUUAAAGUCCAGCCUGUGUCUGCUGCAGAGAGGAACCAACGAGGAACUAAAUGCAAACAUGAACCUGGACCCAGCUCUGUCUCCUUAAAGAGUGACCGGUCUAAAGCUGACAUUAUUGAUUUUAAAGUCCAGCCUCUGUCUGCUGCAGUGAG